AGCUUUGAGCAGUGGUAGCACCGUCGUCUCUGAGGUUUAACCAAGGCACGAUUGUUACUGAUUGAAAACAUGAGACCAAAUUCCAGCCCCCUCCUCCCCACAGUGGCAGGCUGAGGCU
ensembl:snRNA U4 U4 spliceosomal RNA